GCACUUGUAGCUCAGGGGUAGAGCGCAGGAUUGCAGUCACCCUGCAACCAUCCCGAGGUCAGCGGUUCGAAUCCGCUCAAGUGCU
rnacentral:tRNA from 1 species